GACGAACCGUGCGAACGUUGUUCGGAUUCACUGGGCUUAAAGGGCGCGUAGGCGGGCCGCGUAGUCGGUGGUGAAAUCUUUCGGCUCAACCGGAAAAUCGCCUCCGAUACUGGCGGCCUCGAGGGGGUAGGGGCAUGCGGAACUUCGGGUGGAGCGGUGAAAUGCGUAGAUAUCCGGAGGAACGCCGGUGGCGAAAGCGGCGUGCUGGACCCCUUCUGACGCUGAGGCGCGAAAGCCAGGGGAGCGAACAGGA
rnacentral:rRNA from 1 species